AUAGCUUUAAGUUAUGUAAACUAUAAACCUUCAAAGUUUAAAAAGAUUUAAUUCAAGCUAUC
rnacentral:tRNA from 1 species